UAGGGAAUCUUCGGCAAUGGACGAAAGUCUGACCGAGCAACGCCGCGUGAGUGAAGAAGGUUUUCGGAUCGUAAAACUCUGUUGUUAGAGAAGAACAAGGACGUUAGUAACUGAACGUCCCCUGACGGUAUCUAACCAGAAAGCCACGGCUAACUACGUGCCAGCAGCCGCGGUAAUACGUAGGUGUCAAGCGUUGUCCGGAUUUAUUGGGCGUAAAGCGAGCGCAGGCGGUUUCUUAAGUCUGAUGUGAAAGCCCCCGGCUCAACCGGGGAGGGUCAUUGGAAGCUGGGAGACUUGAGUGCAGAAGGGGGGAGUGGAAUUCCAGGUGUAGCGGUGAGAUGCGUAGAUAUAUGGGGGAACACCAGUGGCGAAGGCGGCUCUCUGGUCUGUAACUGACGCUGAGGCUCGAAAGCGUGGGGAGCAAACAGG
rnacentral:rRNA from 1 species